rnacentral:rRNA from 1 species
GUGGGGAAUCUUAGACAAUGGGGGAAACCCUGAUCUAGCCAUGCCGCGUGAGCGAUGAAGGCCUUAGGGUUGUAAAGCUCUUUCAGCUGGGAAGAUAAUGACGGUACCAGCAGAAGAAGCCCCGGCUAACUCCGUGCCAGCAGCCGCGGUAAUACGGAGGGGGCUAGCGUUGUUCGGAAUUACUGGGCGUAAAGCGCGCGUAGGCGGACCAGAAAGUUGGAGGUGAAAUCCCAGGGCUCAACCUUGGAACUGCCUUCAAAACUCCUGGUCUGGAGUUCGAGAGAGGUGAGUGGAAUUCCGAGUGUAGAGGUGAAAUUCGUAGAUAUUCGGAGGAACACCAGUGGCGAAGGCGGCUCACUGGCUCGAUACUGACGCUGAGGUGCGAAAGCGUGGGGAUCAAACAGGAUUAGAAACCCCAGUAGUCC